UACGAAGGGGGCUAGCGUUGCUCGGAAUUACUGGGCGUAAAGGGCGCGUAGGCGGCACUGUUAGUCAGGCGUGAAAGUCCUGGGCUCAACCUGGGAACUGCGCUUGAUACGGCAGAGCUAGAGGAUGGAAGAGGCUCGCGGAAUUCCCAGUGUAGAGGUGAAAUGCGCAGAUAUUGGGAGGAACACCAGCGGCGAAGGCGGCACUCUGGGCUGGUACUGACGCUGAGGAGCGAAAGCGUGGGUAGCGAACAGG
rnacentral:rRNA from 1 species